rnacentral:rRNA from 1 species
UACGUAGGGGGCAAGCGUUGUCCGGAUUUAUUGGGCGUAAAGAGCGUGUAGGCGGCUUUACAGGUCCGUUGUGAAAACUCGAGGCUCAACCUCGAGACGCCGGUGGAAACCGUAAGGCUAGAGUCCGGAAGAGGAGAGUGGAAUUCCUGGUGUAGCGGUGAAUGCGCAGAUAUCAGGAGGAACACCCGUGGCGAAAGCGGCUCUCUGGGACGGUACUGACGCUGAGACGCGAAAGCGUGGGAGCAAACAGG